rnacentral:rRNA from 1 species
AGCAGCCGCGGUAAUUCCAGCUCCAAUAGCGUAUAUUAAAGUUGUUGCAGUUAAAAAGCUCGUAGUUGAAUUUCGGGAUCAGUAGGUCGGUCAUGCCUCUGGUAUGUACUGGUCUCACUGGUUCCUCCUUCCUGAUGAACCGUAAUGCCAUUAAUUUGGUGUUGCGGGGAAACUGGACUGUUACUUUGAAAAAAUUAGAGUGUUUAAAGCAGGCUAACGCUUGAAUACAUUAGCAUGGAAUAAUGAAAUAGGACGAUCGAUCCUAUUUUGUUGGUUUCUAGGAUUGACGUAAUGAUUAAUAGGGAUAGUUGGGGGCAUUAGUAUUCAAUUGCCAGAGGUGAAAUUCUUGGAUUUAUUGAAGACUAACUACUGCGAAAGCAUUUGCCAAGGAUGUUUUCAUUAAUCAAGAACGAAAGUUAGGGGAUCGAAGACGAUCAGAUACCGUCGUAGUCUUAACCAUAAACUAUGCCGACUAGGGAUCGGAUGAUGUUAAUUUUAUAAUGA